UACAGAGGUCUCAAGCGUUGUUCGGAUUCAUUGGGCGUAAAGGGUGCGUAGGCGGCGCGGUAAGUCGGGUGUGAAAUCUCGGAGCUUAACUCCGAAACUGCAUUCGAUACUGCCGUGCUUGAGGACUGGAGAGGAGACUGGAAUUUACGGUGUAGCGGUGAAAUGCGUAGAUAUCGUAAGGAAGACCAGUGGCGAAGGCGGGUCUCUGGGCUGACACUGACGCUCAUGCACGAAAGCGUGGGGAGCAAACAGG
rnacentral:rRNA from 1 species